rnacentral:rRNA from 1 species
GACGGACCNUACCGCGUGAAGGAUGACGNCCUAUGGGUUGNAAACUUCUUUUCUCAGAGAAGAAUUUUGACGGUAUCUGAGGAAUAAGCAUCGGCUAACUCUGUGCCAGCAGCCGCGGUAAGACAGAGGAUGCAAGCGUUAUCCGGAUUAAUUGGGCGUAAAGCGUCUGUAGGUGGUUUAUCAAGUCUUUUGNCAAAGAUCAGGGCCUAACCCUGGGCAGGCAGAANAANCUAAUAANCUUGAGUUCGGNCGGGGCAGANGGAAUNANCGGNGGAGCNUUGGUUUGCGU